CGCUGGCGGCAUGCUUUACACAUGCAAGUCGAACGGUAACAGGCCGCAAGGUGCUGACGAGUGGCGAACGGGUGAGUAAUGCAUCGGAACGUGCCCAGUCGUGGGGGAUAACUACUCGAAAGAGUAGCUAAUACCGCAUACGAUCUAUGGAUGAAAGCGGGGGACCGUAAGGCCUCGCGCGAUUGGAGCGGCCGAUGUCAGAUUAGGUAGUUGGUGGGGUAAAGGCUCACCAAGCCAACGAUCUGUAGCUGGUCUGAGAGGACGACCAGCCACACUGGGACUGAGACACGGCCCAGACUCCUACGGGAGGCAGCAGUGGGGAAUUUUGGACAAUGGGCGCAAGCCUGAUCCAGCAAUGCCGCGUGCAGGAAGAAGGCCUUCGGGUUGUAAACUGCUUUUGUACGGAACGAAACGGCUCUGGUUAAUACCCGGGGCUAAUGACGGUACCGUAAGAAUAAGCACCGGCUAACUACGUG
rnacentral:rRNA from 1 species